CUCCAACUACAUUGCUACCAUCACUGACGUCCUCAUCACUAACGAGGCCUAGACUCCGAUUCUCUCUUUUCUUCUCCGAAAUACUCUUGUGUAUUUCAAAUUCGGAGCCAAAAUCUGGUCAAAGAGAAACAACAACCCGAAAUUCAGCCCGAUCGACCAGCUAUUGAUGAGAGGUUUGUAGUCUUCUUCGCUUCACAGUGAAGAAAUGCAUAGUCGGGAACCAAAUCACCGGCUAUCUGGUUCGGCUUUCAGAUCUCAAGUUUCGGUUCUCAUGCUAGCCAUGUUGACACCAUGGCAUGGAUUUAUGUCGUCGACCGGCUACGGCUGGAUUAUGAGAAUGGGGCUUAUUUGAUUAAAGAGCUGGAUAGGAGAACUAGUCAGGGAACAACACAAGAAGUUAGCAGCCCUUGACAUGGAGCUAGUAGCAGCACAGUAGGAAGAUUUUGACUCAAAGAACUUGUUAGAAAAUAAGGGGACUCCUCCCAAGAAAAGGCUUUUAGCUGUUGUUGGAAUUAUUACAAAGUUUGGCCACAAGAACAAUAGAGAUGCAAUCUGUAGGGGCAUGGAUGCCAACUGGUAGAAUGCCCUUCUUUUUAUAAGUUUCGUUCUUUAUUCUUUGUAUGAUUUACAUAGAGAAUGACCCAGUUGGCACUUAACACAUUGACAUUUCUGUUAUAAGCAUAUAAGGGAUAAAAAUAGGAGGCUCGUAGGCUGAACUCUUAUUAACAUGAAAACUUUUAGUGAACUUCCAUUUCUCAUCUA